GAAGAUCUCUUUAUUGAUAUUGCUUAGCACACUUGCUAUUUAUACAGAGUACAUUGCCAGAUUGUAGCGUUUUCAGGUUUCAGCCCUAAGCUACUUACUCACCUGCUGCCUAGCAGCUCAACGUUUUAUCCUCAAGGCAGUUUUGUGACAAAGUUAGGAAAUUGAAAUAAAGCAGCAACUAAAUUGUCCCUUUUUCUCCUUCUUCUUCUUCUUCUUAAAUGGACACUAGAGAAACACAAUCAGUCAACUUGUAGUUAAUAAAGGAAUCCAACUCACGACACAGCCUCCCAUGAAGUUUCGAGGUCGAGGCUUCUUUUCAGUGCUCGACCAUGGCGUCCUCAGUAAAACAAUAGAGUUAUAAAUCUUGCUCAAAUGAAGAUUCCAAAGGAACCUAUUUGGUUCUUUCCUGCAAAUAUACAGACGGCAUUCGUAAGAAUAUAUAUGGUCUGUGCAUCAUUGAAUUUAAGGAUGACAUGAAAACAAAAAAAAGAAGAGACUCUCUCUCUCUCUCUCCUGAUAAAUCAAGGAAUAUAUAGAGAAUAUGCAGGAAUGGAUAUUGGAAAAGGCCAUAUAAUGGAAGGAUGCGUGUGUGUACGUGUAUAUAUAUUUUUAAUCAGAGAGGUUCAAAUGAUCUUAAAAUAUAUAAUGCGAUACCUCCAGCUGCAUAACAGAAAAAGAAACGUAAUCUAUAAGAUUAAAACAUGCUUUAUUUAUAAAAAAAAAAAAAGAAUUAUGGAGUACAUGCACAACCACUAGACCAAGUCUAAAAGAUAUAGUCAUGAUCCAUGCACACCGUUACAAGUGAAGUUGAGGUGGAAGAUGAAUUAAUUAAAACCUUGUCGUUUUAUAUAUUUUGAUACAUUGGAAAAGGUUGUUCCAGAUAUAGUGCUUAGCGCAGUAUUUCUCAUUUUCUUGUGCAUGCAUGUUAUGUAUCAAUUCUGCCAGAAUUAAUCAAGUAGAACUGGACGUGUUGCAUAACAGAAAACGAAAUGAAAGAGUGAUUAUUAUUCGUGAUCAAAACUUUCAUCGAUUCGGUGAUUUUUAAGCAAGUGACCUUUAUCACUAAGCAGCCUUACAAACCAUAGUGAUCAAAAGUUAAUUAAAACAAAAUCAUCGGUAAGAACAUAUAUAUAUAUAUAUAAUUCGACUUAAUUACGGGUAUAUGCUAUGCUCUUUUUUUUUUUGGGUUUAUCAGUCAUAAAACAACAGCAGCAGCAACAACAAUGUAUCAGGGUAUGUAAUUAUUUGGCUUUGUUUCAAAUUAAUAUAUACUCGUACUUCUUCAUGAGUUGCCCUAGCUCUAUGGGUAACAGCUACAAAAAUCGAAAUUUUCAUGGAGUAUAAGUACGUACCUCGUUCAAAGAGUGCGGGCUGGUUCCUUUAUCAUCUUCUUCGAGUUUGGCUAUUUCCAUAAGACAAUGUACAAGAUGAACUUCCUAAGGGGUAAGAUGGAAUUGUA
rnacentral:lncRNA from 1 species